GAUGAACGCUGGCGGCGUGCCUAAUACAUGCAAGUCGUACGGAGAGGCCCUUCGGGGUACUCGAGUGGCGGACGGCUGAGUAACGCGUGGGAACGUGCCCCAAAGUGAGGGAUAACGCACCGAAAGGUGUGCUAAUACCGCAUAUGGUCUUCGGAUUAAAGCUUCGGCGCUUUGGGCGCGGUCCGCGUACGAUUAGAUAGUUGGUGAGGUAAUGGCUCACCAAGUCGACGAUCGUUAGCUGGUCUGAGAGGAUGAUCAGCCAGACUGGGACUGAGACACGGCCCAGACUCCUGCGGGAGGCAGCAGUAAGGAAUCUUCCACAAUGGGGGCAACCCUGAUGGAGCAACGCCGCGUGCAGGAUGAAGGUUUUCGGAUCGUAAACUGCUUUUAUAAGUGAAGAAUAUGACGGUAACUUAUGAAUAAGGAUCGGCUAACUACGUGCCAGCCGCCGCAGUAA
rnacentral:rRNA from 1 species